rnacentral:rRNA from 1 species
UACGAAGGGGGGCUAGCGUUGUUCGGAAUUACUGGGCGUAAAGCGCACGUAGGCGGAUUUGUAAGUCAGGGGUGAAAUCCCGGGGCUCAACCUCGGAACUGCCUUUGAUACUGCAAGUCUUGAGUCCGGAAGAGGUGAGUGGAAUUCCUAGUGUAGAGGUGAAAUUCGUAGAUAUUAGGAAGAACACCAGUGGCGAAGGCGGCUCACUGGUCCGGUACUGACGCUGAGGUGCGAAAGCGUGGGGAGCAAACAGG